GACAGUUGACAUUCUAUAAUAAAUUAAUACAAAUUUUAUUAAUGUAACUGUUUUAAAAUGUUUGAUUUUGGAGAUACCGUAGCUUUAUUAUUAGGAUUAUUUAUAAGUGUCAUAAUAAUUUUAGCAUGCUUAGGUGCAUAUGCAAGAAAAAAAGCAUAUUUGGAACCACUUUGAAGAUUUGGAGGUGAUUCGAAAUAAAAAUAGGAUUAAGUAUAUUAAUAUUUUUGUAUCUAUUGUAAUAUGACAAAAUAAAAAAAGAACAAAAAAACA